UCUUCUGACUGACAUUUUAAUUUAUUGGGACAGUUUCCCAGACAGAGAUUAUACCUAGUUUUGGAAUAAAAAGCACUUUAAAUGGAAAGUCUUCAUUGAACGCGCUUCUUAGUCCAGGACUGAGUGUAAUCUCUGUCCGGGAAACCGCCCAAUGUGUUUAACUAAUUUCUGAUUCCAUUUGAUAGGCAUCCCCAGAUCAGGAAAUACCAAUGCUGUCUGGGGGAAAUGGAAACAAUUCAAGCCCCCGUCACAGUCAGGGACUCAACAUUCUGUAAUCUGUGGUCCACUGGCUGGCUGGUCCAGCCAUCUCUAGUGUAUCUUAACACUACAUGUUAAAUGUGAUAUUGUAGAAUCUGGUUGAUAUGAAAACAGGAUUCUACACCACAUUCUAUUGUAGAGUAAAGAAAUGAAACACAUUGAAACCCAA